rnacentral:rRNA from 1 species
AUAAUUAUAUUCUUACUUUCAUUUUUUUUGAUUAUUUUUGAGAAAAAUCUUUGACUUUAGUAUUUUUAUGAAAAAAUUAAGUUUGUUAUAGUAAAUUAGUACUGUGAAGGAAUAUGAUGAAAUAAUUUAUAUUUUAAUUUGUUAUAAGUAUAUUUUAUUUAUAGUACCUUUUGUAUCAGGGUUGAUCAAUUAAUUUAAUUUAUAUUUAAGUCUCGAUUUCAAAAGAGCUAAUUUAUUAUUAUAGUUAAUGUGUCAUAAUUAUUAUUAAUAUAAAUUAGAAAAGAAAUUUUAUUCGAUUUUGAGGGUAUCUAGUUUUUUAAGAGAUGAAUUUAAUUCAGUUUUGUUAAUUAAUUUUUAUAUUUAUUUAAUAAUUAUUUAAUAAAAGUAAAUUGUAGGGGAUAAGCUCUAUAUUUUUCUAUAAAAUUUAGUGUAAUAUAUUUCUGUAGGGUUAAAAUUAUCCAUCAUUAGUAAGUGUGUUAUAAUUUAUAUAUAUAUAUAUUAGGUAUCAAUUUUGUGAGUUAUAGUAUGUUAUUAAAAUAGCGUAAUUAAUUUUUAAUUUUGGGAAAUAAUGAUUAAAUUAGUAUAAUAUAGUGUUUAUAAUUUUAUUAAUAUAAUGAUAAUAUAAGGAACCUCGGCAAAUAUAGUUCUCGCCUGUUUAACAAAAACAUGUCCUUUUGACGUUUAUAGAAGGUCUGACCUGCCCAGUGAUGAAUUUAACGGCCGCGGUAUACUGACCGUGCAAAGGUAGCAUAAUCAUUAGUCUUUUAAUAGAGGGCUGGAAUGAAAGGUUUAACGAGGAACUGACUGUCUCAUAUUAUUUGUUUUAGAAUUUAAUUUUUUAGUCAAAAAGCUAAAAUGUUAUUGGAAGACGAGAAGACCCUAUAGAUCUUUAUAUAAUUAUAUUUAUUAAUUUUUAUAUAAAUGUUUUUAAAUUAUUAUUAUAUUUCGUUGGGGUGACGAAAACAUAUGAAUAACUUUUUUAUUUAUUUGACAUUGAUUUAUGAAUAUUGGAUCCGUUAUUAGUGAUUAUUAGACUAAGUUACCUUAGGGAUAACAGCGUAAUCCUCCUCCAGAGUUCAUAUUUACAGGAUGGGCUUGCGACCUCGAUGUUGGAUUAAGAUAAUAAUUAGGUGUAGCCGCUUAAUUUAUAGGUCUGUUCGACCUUUAA